rnacentral:rRNA from 1 species
UACGUAGGGUGCAAGCGUUGUCCGGAAUUAUUGGGCGUAAAGAGCUCGUAGGCGGUUUGUUGCGUCGGCUGUGAAAUCCCGAGGCUCAACCUCGGGUCUGCAGUCGAUACGAGCAAACUAGAGUGUUGCAGGGGAGACUGGAAUUCCUGGUGUAGCGGUGAAAUGCGCAGAUAUCAGGAGGAACACCGGUGGCGAAGGCGCACAUCUGGCCCGAUACUGACGCUGAGGCGCGAAAGCUAGGGGAGCAAACGGG